rnacentral:rRNA from 1 species
AUUGAACGCUGGCGGCAUGCCUUACACAUGCAAGUCGAACGGUAACGCGGGGCAACCUGGCGACGAGUGGCGAACGGGUGAGUAAUGUGUCGGAACGUGCCCAGUAGUGGGGGAUAGCCCGGCGAAAGCCGGAUUAAUACCGCAUACGACCUAAGGGUGAAAGCGGGGGAUCGCAAGACCUCGCGCUAUUGGAGCGGCCGAUAUCAGAUUAGGUAGUUGGUGGGGUAAAGGCCUACCAAGGCGACGAUCUGUAGCUGGUCUGAGAGGACGACCAGCCACACUGGGACUGAGACAAGGCCCGGACUCCUACGGGAGGCAGCAGUGGGAAAUUUUGGACAAUGGGCGAAAGCCUGAUCCAGCCAUGCCGCGUGCGGGAAGAAGGCCUUCGGGUUGUAAACCGCUUUUGUCAGGGAAGAAAAGGCUCGAACCAAUACUUUGGGCUCAUGACGGUACCUGAAGAAUAAGCACCGGCUAACUACGUGCCAGCCGCCGCCGUAAUAC